UACGUAGGGUGCAAGCGUUUAAUCGGAAUUACUGGGCGUAAAGCGUGCGCAGGCGGUUUUGUAAGUCUGUCGUGAAAUCCCCGGGCUCAACCUGGGAAUGGCGAUGGAGACUGCAAGGCUAGAAUCUGGCAGAGGGGGGGUAGAAUUCCACGUGUAGCAGUGAAAUGCGUAGAGAUGUGGAGGAACACCGAUGGCGAAGGCAGCCCCCCUGGGUCAAGAUUGACGCUCAUGCACGAAAGCGUGGGGAGCAAACGAAGG
rnacentral:rRNA from 1 species